rnacentral:rRNA from 1 species
GGGGUAUUCGAGCCUGCCUUCGACAAGGAGGGUUAAGUCGUAACAAGGUAUCUGUAGGGGAACCUGCAGAUGGAUCACCUCCU